rnacentral:rRNA from 1 species
AUUGAACGCUGGCGGCAUGCCUUACACAUGCAAGUCGAACGGCAGCAUGAUCUAGCUUGCUAGAUUGAUGGCGAGUGGCGAACGGGUGAGUAAUACAUCGGAACGUGCCCUGUAGUGGGGGAUAACUAGCCGAAAGAUUAGCUAAUACCGCAUACGACCUGAGGGUGAAAGUGGGGGACCGCAAGGCCUCAUGCUAUAGGAGCGGCCGAUGUCUGAUUAGCUAGUUGGUGAGGUAAAGGCUCACCAAGGCGACGAUCAGUAGCUGGCCUGAGAGGACGAUCAGCCACACUGGGACUGAGACACGGCCCAGACUCCUACGGGAGGCAGCAGUGGGGAAUUUUGGACAAUGGGCGAAAGCCUGAUCCAGCAAUGCCGCGUGUGUGAAGAAGGCCUUCGGGUUGUAAAGCACUUUUGUCCGGAAAGAAAUGGCUCUGGUUAAUACCUGGGGUCGAUGACGGUACCGGAAGAAUAAGGACCGGCUAACUACGUG